rnacentral:tRNA from 1 species
AGGCGGUGGUUUGUAAUUCCAUUUAUGGGGUGGUGAACUCCUCUUAUCA